CGGGACGGGUGAGUAAUGUAUGGGGAUCUGCCUGAUGGAGGGGGAUAACUACUGGAAACGGUAGCUAAUACCGCAUAAUGUCUACGGACCAAAGCGGGGGACCUCCGGGCCUCGCGCCAUCAGAUGAACCCAUAUGGGAUUAGCUAGUAGGUAAGGUAACGGCUUACCUAGGCGACGAUCCCUAGCUGGUCUGAGAGGAUGAUCAGCCACACUGGGACUGAGACACGGCCCAG
rnacentral:rRNA from 1 species